UUAAUAGAUAUCAUUUGUUUUUCCUGUUAAUGGUGGUUUUACAAUGGAGUUGGCUGUUGCUUAGUUUUGUUCUAGUGGAAUUGGCAGCCAUGAAGUGACUCUUGUAGAUUUUGAGCUCUAUUGAACUUCUUGGCGAUCUUCUUUUCAAGGUUGCUGGAACCUUUGGAAGAGCAAUUCUUGAGCUUGGGAGUGAUGACGAAGGUCGAAGCACAGAGGCACAUGACCCCACAAUUAUUG